rnacentral:lncRNA from 1 species
UCAAACGUAGAUAUUGCCAGAAAUGGGAAGCAUUGCCCUAAAAUGUAGAAAUGGGACCUCCAUUACAUUACAUAAUAUUAUCACCCAAUGAGUGCGAACAAGAACCCAAUGGUCAAGUUCUUUGAACAUAAUUAAUAACAACAUGAUAACUAAGGUUAAGCUCUUACGGAUACAUUAGUAUAUUAUUAUAGGUGGAUCAUGGAAACUCCAUAAAGAUGACACAUGGGGAAUUCUGAGGGAUUAUGGAUAUGGAGGAGGAGGAGGAGGAGGGCCCAUUGGACCACCAAAGCAGUCUUGGAACAACCAGCAGCAGCACAAGAAGCUAAGGCUGCAAAUCAAAACACACAACAAAAGUUAUAAGAUGAAUGUGGUUAAGAAUCAAACUCAAAGUUACCACAUGCAAAUAGGACGAGUAAUGAUAUACAAACAGAAAUCUUGUACGGAAAUUAACGUUAUUUGUCUUUUUAUUUUACGAUAAAAUACCCUGACUUAUAGCUUUAAGAUUGCCACUAUCGAUCGUAUCACUCUAGUAUUGAUUUAUGUAAAAAAAAAAUUAUUCGUACUCAAAACUCAAAGAUUUCUUUUUCAAACACCUGACAAGGAAAAACAGACAGAAAAAGGAGUUUGAACAAGGCCGAUCUUGAGAUUUUUGAAGCUCAAAGCAAGCUCUUAACUUGGAGCCCCUAUCCUCUAUGUGAUAAUGCUUGCCUAAUGGAAGUUCUUAUAGUGCUAAGUACAUUAAGAUGUGUUUUUUUGGGACCUAAAGGCGGUGUCUUUGCCAGCCAAUGCCAGGGCGGGGCCUGAGUUUGAACUGCUAGAAGUCUACUUACCAAGCAGACAUGGCAUUGCAGAACCCACCAAAGAGGCCUAGCCCAGGCAGAGGACCCGGGAUCGGCCCACCUGGAGGCGAGCCCCAGCCCAGCGGUCCUCCUGGUCCCAUCGAAAAGCGUAACUCUCUCACAACUCACAAGUAGUAUUAGUCUAUAGUUGCAAAUUAAAAGCCACAAGAAUAGAAUAUCUGUCGCUGUGAAGAGACCCUGGAGCUAUAUAAAGAGAGAUUUAGCUUAGUGUAGAAGCAUCCUAUUUCC